CCCAGCCUUAAAGCAUGUUCCAAUCUUGAGCAAACCAGCAAUUUGAAGGCAUGAUGCAGAUAUCAGAAUAUGUUGUAGUGUGCCAUAUGACUGGACCCUAGGGGUGCAAAAUAGCCACAACAAUGGAAAAGUCAUGAAUUUAGAAUAAAGUGAA